CUUCUGGUACAUCAUUGACACCGAGCGGCUGGAGAGGAGCGGCCCGGGGGCGCAGGACCUGCUGGGGUCCACCAAUCGCAGCCAGCCCGAGCCUCUGAGCUCCCACUCCGGCCUCUGGCGGACCUGCCGGGUGCAGAGCCCGUGCACACCGCUGAUGAACCCCUUCAGGCUGGAGAACGUGACAGUCAGCGAAUCGAGCCGGCAACUUCUCACUGCUUUUUGAUAGCUCCAUGGAUGUCAAUGGUGAAUUAUUAACAGUAAAUCAAUAGAAUGGAAAACUUCUGCAGGGCUUUGCUGUUAUGGAAAGAAAUCCCUGGUAUAAAACAGAAUGGGGGAUAAAACCAGAUAGUAGUUUCACACCAUAUGAUAUCAUAUGAUGUUAUCAUGGUUAUGAAAAAUAGAAUCUAUACGUAUAUGUGAAUAGCUAUAUGAAU
rnacentral:sRNA from 1 species